rnacentral:rRNA from 1 species
UGCAGUCGAGCGAUGGAUUGAGAGCUUGCUCUCAAGAAGUUAGCGGCGGACGGGUGAGUAACACGUGGGUAACCUGCCCAUAAGACUGGGAUAACUCCGGGAAACCGGGGCUAAUACCGGAUAACAUUUUGAACUGCAUGGUUCGAAAUUGAAAGGCGGCUUCGGCUGUCACUUAUGGAUGGACCCGCGUCGCAUUAGCUAGUUGGUGAGGUAACGGCUCACCAAGGCAACGAUGCGUAGCCGACCUGAGAGGGUGAUCGGCCACACUGGGACUGAGACACGGCCCAGACUCCUACGGGAGGCAGCAGUAGGGAAUCUUCCGCAAUGGACGAAAGUCUGACGGAGCAACGCCGCGUGAGUGAUGAAGGCUUUCGGGUCGUAAAACUCUGUUGUUAGGGAAGAACAAGUGCUAGUUGAAUAAGCUGGCACCUUGACGGUACCUAACCAGAAAGCCACGGCUAACUACGUGCCAGCAGCCGCGGUAAUACGUAGUGGCAAGCGUUAUCCGGAAUUAUUGGGCGUAAAGCGCGCGCAGUGGUUUCUUAAGUCUGAUGUGAAAGCCCACGGCUCAACCGUGGAGGGUCAUUGGAAACUGGGAGA